GACGAACCGUGCGAACGUUAUUCGGAAUCAUUGGGCUUAAAGGGCGCGUAGGCGGCGGCGUAAGUUGGAAGUGAAAUCCCAUCGGCUCAACCGUGGAAUUGCUCCCAGUACUGCGUCGCUCGAGGGGGAUAGGGGUCUGCGGAACUACCGGUGGAGCGGUGAAAUGCGUAGAUAUCGUCUGGAACGCCAAUGGUGAAAACAGCUCGCUGGGGGUUUGCUGACGCUGAGACACGAAAGCCAGGGGAGCAAACGGG
rnacentral:rRNA from 1 species